UCUUGCGCAAUGGGCGAAAGCCUGACGCAGCAACGCCGCGUGCGGGAUGAAGGCCUUCGGGCUGUAAACCGCUUUCAGCAGGAACGAAAAUGACGGUACCUGCAGAAGAAGGAGCGGCCAACUACGUGCCAGCAGCCGCGGUGACACGUAGGCUCCAAGCGUUGUCCGGAUUUAUUGGGCGUAAAGAGCUCGUAGGCGGUUUAGUAAGUCGGGUGUUAAAACUCUGGGCUCAACCCGGAGAGGCCAUCCGAUACUGCUGUGACUUGAGUUCAGGAGGGGAGCGGGGAAUUCCUAGUGUAGCGGUGAAAUGCGCAGAUAUUAGGAGGAACACCGGUGGCGAAGGCGCCGCUCUGGACUGAAACUGACGCUGAGAGCGA
rnacentral:rRNA from 1 species